AAAUUUAAGAAGAAGACUCUUAAUAUUUAGGAAAGGGUUUACUACAAAGAUUUUGUUUUUGGAAACUCUCUCUUACAAAUAUUUUCUCUCUUUGUUUUUCUUGAUUCUUGGAUGAUUACAAAUGGUGCUAAGCACCCCUAUUUAUACUAGUAAGUGGAGACUACAAGUUAGUUCUACACACUUCAUCUUCUACACACUUCCUUUUCUACACACUUCUUCAUCCUUCUCCAUUUUUCUCUAGAUAUUUCUUCUUCUUCUUGGGCUUCUUGGGUCUUGGGCUAAUGAGGGAAAAACCCAACA
rnacentral:lncRNA from 1 species